UACGGGGGGGGCAAGCGUUGUUCGGAAUUACUGGGCGUAAAGGGCUCGUAGGCGGCCAACUAAGUCAGACGUGAAAUCCCUCGGCUUAACCGGGGAACUGCGUCUGAUACUGGAUGGCUUGAGGUUGGGAGAGGGAUGCGGAAUUCCAGGUGUAGCGGUGAAAUGCGUAGAUAUCUGGAGGAACACCGGUGGCGAAGGCGGCAUCCUGGACCAAUUCUGACGCUGAGGAGCGAAAGCUAGGGGAGCAAACGGG
rnacentral:rRNA from 1 species